rnacentral:rRNA from 1 species
UACAGAGGUGGCAAGCGUUGUUCGGAAUUACUGGGCGUAAAGGGCGCGUAGGCGGCCUUGUAAGUCCUGUGUGAAAUCCCCCGGCUCAACUGGGGAACUGCACAGGAGACUGCUUGGCUUGAGUUCGGGAGAGGGAAGUGGAAUUCCGGGUGUAGCGGUGAAAUGCGUAGAUAUCCGGAGGAACACCGGUGGCGAAGGCGGCUGCCUGGACCGACACUGACGCUGAGGCGCGAAAGCCAGGGGAGCAAACGGG